rnacentral:rRNA from 1 species
UACAUGGGGUGCAAACGUUGCUCGGAAUUAUUGGGCGUAAAGCGCACGUAGGUGGUCUGUUAUGUCAGAUGUGAAAGCCCUCGGCUUAACUGAGGAAGUGCACCUGAAACUGGCAGGCUUGAGUACGAAAGAGGGUCGCGGAAUUCCCGGUGUAGAGGUGAAAUUCGUAGAUAUCGGGAGGAACACCGGUGGCGAAGGCGGUCUGCUGGGCAGUUGCUGACACUGAGGCGCGACACGUGGGGAGCAAACAGG